rnacentral:rRNA from 1 species
GACGAACGCUGGCGGCGUGCUUAACACAUGCAAGUCGAACGGUGAAGCGCCUUCCUUUUUGGUGGGUGUGGAUGAGUGGCGAACGGGUGAGUAACACGUGAGUAACCUGCCCCCUUCUUCUGGAUAACCGCAUGAAAGUGUGGCUAAUACGGGAUAUUCUGGGUCUGUCGCAUGAUGGGUCUGGGAAAGAUAUUGUUUCGGUGGGGGAUGGGCUCGCGGCCUAUCAGCUUGUUGGUGGGGUGAUGGCCUACCAAGGCGGUGACGGGUAGCCGGCCUGAGAGGGUGGACGGACACACUGGGACUGAGACACGGCCCAGACUCCUACGGGAGGCAGCAGUGGGGAAUAUUGCACAAUGGGCGCAAGCCUGAUGCAGCGACGCCGCGUGAGGGAUGGAGGCCUUCGGGUUGUGAACCUCUUUCGCCAGUGAAGCAGGCCUGCCUCGUUUGUGGGUGGGUUGACGGUAGCUGGAUAAGAAGCGCCGGCUAACUACGUG